AUCCGGUAUUUGGCCCAGCAUAACAUGAUUGACUGUAUCGUCAGUACCGCUGGUGGAAUAGAGGAGGAUUUUAUGAAAUGUUUCAGCUCUUUUUACAUGGGAGAUUUCAAACUGAAAGGCGCCGAGCUCUUUGAAAAGAGCCAUAACCGAACUGGAAACCUACUUGUGCCUAACACAACCUACUGCAAGUUUCAUUCUUGGUUGAAUCCUAUUCUUGACACCAUGGUGGAAGAACAGA
rnacentral:sRNA from 1 species